rnacentral:rRNA from 1 species
GACGUAGGGGGCCAGCGUUGUUCGGAAUUACUGGGUGUAAAGGGUUCGUAGGCGGUGCGGCAAGUUGGGAGUGAAAUCUCUGGGCUUAACCCAGAGGCUGCUUCCAAAACUGCUGUGCUUGAGUGUGGGAGAGGCGCGUGGAAUUGCAGGUGUAGCGGUGAAAUGCGUAGAUAUCUGCAGGAACACCCGUGGCGAAAGCGGCGCGCUGGACCACUACUGACGCUGGAGGAACGAAAGCUAGGGAGCAAACAGG